UACGUAGGGGGCAAGCGUUACCCGGAUUCACUGGGCGUAAAGCGGGUGUAGGCGGCUCGGUAAGUCGGGUGUGAAAUCCCACGGCUCAACCGUGGAAUUGCGCACGAAACUGCUGAGCUUGGGGCCGGUAGAGGGAGACGGAACUGCCGGUGUAGGGGUGAAAUCCGUAGAUAUCGGCAGGAACGCCGGUGGGGGAGCCGGUCUCCUGGGCCGCGCCCGACGCUGAGGCCCGAAAGCUAGGGGAGCAAACCGG
rnacentral:rRNA from 1 species